UUCACCUGUGCUGCUGGAAGGGGUGGAGCCUGGUUCCACCUCUCCUAGACUCAUUUAAGAGCCAACAACCAGUAGGGAAGGACAUUUUUCUGGAGAUCCCUUCUUUGGAGUUUCACAGCAAGCUCAGAAUGAGGGUUCAAAAACAGAUGGAUUUUCAGAGGUGCUGCAUGCUUCUAUCUCCUACAGAAACUCUAAUGGACCCAUGGAAGAUGAAGGUGGGGUAUGGACAUCAUUACGGAAUGUGUGAAUUGCAUUCAUUGUUCUCACUAGCAGAAGAGGAAAAUGAUUCUGCAGCUCUACUCAGUGACUAACAUGAGACUGCAAGAUGGACAGACUAUUCUGGUAGACCACAAUCCUUUCUUCUUGAAAUUUUGUGAUUUCCACCCAGCAUGUAAAAGGAAAUAUUCCUAUCAUGUGAGUGAAUUCUGCUGCCUACUACUGAAUGGUGGGACUAUGUAUUUCAUUGGAGAUCCUUGCUUUGGCUUUUUCUUGGAGUAAGUAGUGGUUAUGGUAGCACAAGAAUUAAGUAGAAAAUGAAGCUUACUUAUAAUUCCAUUUUCUUACAUGUAGAUAAUGCUGUUCUGGGGGGAAAGAAUUGAAGAAAUAAGCCCAGGAUGGACAUAUUAGAAACUGGAAGAUAUUUGUAUUGAAUGAUUACACAGAGUAAGCUUCUGUGGACUGAAAUAUGAUUUUGAAAUAUUGUCAUCUUCUAGAUGCCUUGUUUCUGAAAUAUUGGGAAAAGAACUGAGAUUUAUAUGGCUUAAAGCAACAUUUAGGAAACAGUUAAGUUUCCCUCUCAAUAUUCUAGUGUUUGGGAAUGGAAUUAUUCUAUUCUGGAACUAUAUAUAUAAUGGAACUAUACUAUUCUGAUGAAAAUAUUUUUAGCUUUGAAUCGUGAUACACAACAUAUGAUAGAUUUACUGAGCUCUUUGAAGGUGACAGAACACAGUUGCACUUCAGAAAGGUGUUAAAAUAUAAUGGUAUUGAAAGGAGGGGAAAGGACAGAAAGCGUGGAAGACUUUUUUGAAUAUUGUCAAACUUCUUUAGAAACAAUUUGUGCUUCAUCAUAAUGUCUGUUUCUUCCUUGACACUUUCUGAUGUAUCAUUUCUUGCUGUUAAUUGCCAGUGAAAAGCAUAGAGAAAGUGUGAAGCUUUGGAAAAUGUGGAGCAACACUCUUUGCGUAUUAAUUGCUGUUUACAGAUACUGUCAUAUAUAAUGCACAUAGGCUUUUUUUGUGAGUGUUCACUAAAGGAAUAUCUCAAUAAGGUAUUAACAAUUAGUUUUUCUGCUUGUAUAUUUGAUAAAAAUUAAAAUGGUCUUUCUCAAUUUUCUUACAGCGAUAUUUAGAAUGAGUGUUAGACCAAAACUCUUACAAAACCAGAACUCUUGGAUGUCUGUAGCUAACAAUAGUCAUGGAGGUGAAGUUUAUACUUGCAUCUAAAAGGUAUUUACAUAUGCAGUUGAAAUAGAUGAUGAAAUCUCUGCAUAAUUUUCCUUGCUUUGUAUAAAAGUAGUUUGAAAAUACAGCUACCCCAAAGUUUUCAAUGUUACUGAGAAAUGACAGAUAAACAGGAUAAUUUCAUUUUCUCCCUUACUCUUCCAAUGUUAUUAAUGAAUGGUGACAUAAAAUGGAAUUAAACUCUAAAGGAGAGUUUAAGGAAUAAGUGUAAAAAUAACUGGCUUAUGUUAAUUAAAAGUGAA